UAAGGAAUAUUGCUCAAUGGGAGAAAUCCUGAAGCAGCAACGCCGCGUGGAGGAUGAAGGGUCUAUGACUUGUAAACUCCUGUAAAGAAGGAAAAAAUUCCCAUUAGAUGGGAGAUGAUGGUACUUCUGGAGUAAGCCCCGGCUAACUACGUGCCAGCAGCCGCGGUAAUACGUAGGGGGCAAGCGUUGUCCGGAUUUACUGGGUGUAAAGGGUGCUCAGGCGGAUUUGUAAGUCAGAGGUGAAAUCUUACAGCUUAACUGUGAAACUGCCUUUGAUACUGCAAGCCUAGAGUAUGGAAGAGAGUGAUGGGAUAUCUGGUGUAGCAGUGAAAUGCGUAGAUAUCAGAUAGAACACCAAUGGCGAAGGCAGUCACUUGGUCCAUUACUGACGCUAAAGCACGAAAGCGUGGGUAGCAA
rnacentral:rRNA from 1 species